CCAAAGGCUCUUUUUAGAGCCAAUCAUCAUUCCUGGUGACUAAUAAU
rfam:Homo sapiens chromosome 7, GRCh38 reference primary assembly.